rnacentral:pre_miRNA from 1 species
UCGCUGCAACAGUUAGCUAGCAUUUAUUGCGAGGUAACUGUUGCAGCAUCC